rnacentral:rRNA from 1 species
UACGUAGGGGGCAAGCGUUGUCCGGAAUCAUUGGGCGUAAAGAGCGUGUAGGCGGCCCGAUAAGUCGGCCGUGAAAGUCCAGGGCUCAACCCUGGAAUGCCGGUGGAAACUGUCGGGCUGGAGUCCGGAAGAGGCGAGUGGAAUUCCUGGUGUAGCGGUGAAAUGCGCAGAUAUCAGGAGGAACACCAAUGGCGAAGGCAGCUCGCUGGGACGGUACUGACGCUGAGACGCGAAAGCGUGGGGAGCAAACAGG